ACGGCUCAGUAACACGUGGAUAACCUGCCCUUGGGACCGGCAUAACCCCGGGAAACUGGGGAUAAUUCCGGAUAACGCAUAUUUGCUGGAAUGCUUUAUGCGUCAAAAGGAUUCGUCUGCCCAAGGAUGGGUCUGCGGCCUAUCAGGUAGUAGUGGGUGUAAUGUACCUACUAGCCAGCGACGGGUACGGGUUGUGAGAGCAAGAGCCCGGAGAUGGAUUCUGAGACAUGAAUCCAGGCCCUACGGGGCGCAGCAGGCGCGAAAACUUUACAAUGCGGGAAACCGUGAUAAGGGGACACCGAGUGCCAGCAUCAUAUGCUGGCUGUCCGGAUGUGUAAAAUACAUCCGUUAGCAAGGGCCGGGCAAGACCGGUGCCAGCCGCCGCGGUAACACCGGCGGCCCGAGUGGUGAUCGUGAUUAUUGGGUCUAAAGGGUCCGUAGCCGGUUUGGUCAGUCCUCCGGGAAAUCUGAUAGCUCAACUAUUAGGCUUUCGGGGGAUACUGCCAGACUUGGAACCGGGAGAGGUAAGAGGUACUACAGGGGUAGGAGUGAAAUCUUGUAAUCCCUGUGGGACCACCUGUGGCGAAGGCGUCUUACCAGAACGGGUUCGACGGUGAGGGACGAAAGCUGGGGGCACGAACCGGAUUAGAUACCCGGGUAGUCCCAGCCGUAAACGAUGCUCGCUAGGUGUCAGGCAUGGCGCGACCGUGUCUGGUGCCGCAGGGAAGCCGUGAAGCGAGCCACCUGGGAAGUACGGCCGCAAGGCUGAAACUUAAAGGAAUUGGCGGGGGAGCAC
rnacentral:rRNA from 1 species